UUCCAUUGAGGUUCGUUACAAUAAAAAAGGGGACUCUCAACGGCAACGCCGAUGGCUUAAGUCGAAUCCUCUAACGCAGG
rnacentral:lncRNA from 1 species